GACGAACGCUGGCGGCGUGCCUAAUACAUGCAAGUAGAACGCUGAAGGAGGAGCUUGCUCUUCUGGAUGAGUUGCGAACGGGUGAGUAACGCGUAGGUAACCUGCCUGGUAGCGGGGGAUAACUAUUGGAAACGAUAGCUAAUACCGCAUAACAGUAGAUGUUGCAUGACAUUUACUUAAAAGGUGCAAUUGCAUCACUACCAGAUGGACCUGCGUUGUAUUAGCUAGUUGGUGGGGUAACGGCUCACCAAGGCGACGAUACAUAGCCGACCUGAGAGGGUGAUCGGCCACACUGGGACUGAGACACGGCCCAGACUCCUACGGGAGGCAGCAGUAGGGAAUCUUCGGAAAUGGACGGAAGUCUGACCGAGCAACGCCGCGUGAGUGAAGAAGGGUUUCGGAUCGUAAAGCUCUGUUGUAAGAGAAGAACGAGUGUGAGAGUGGAAAGUUCACACUGUGACGGUAGCUUACCAGAAAGGGACGGCUAACUACGUG
rnacentral:rRNA from 1 species